GGUGUAGCUCGGUGGUAGAGAACGUGCUUAGCAGGCAUGGAGCCCUGGGUUCAAUCCCUAGCACC
rnacentral:tRNA from 1 species